rnacentral:rRNA from 22 species
GUGACUGCGUACCUUUUGUAUAAUGGGUCAGCGACUUAUAUUCUGUAGCAAGGUUAACCGAAUAGGGGAGCCGGAGGGAAACCGAGUCUUAAUUGGGCGUUAAGUUGCAGGGUAUAGACCCGAAACCCGGUGAUCUAGCCAUGGGCAGGUUGAAGGUUGGGUAACACUAACUGGAGGACCGAACCGACUAAUGUUGAAAAAUUAGCGGAUGACCUGUGGCU